GACAUGCCACGUAUACGUCAAGAAAAGGAUUCUAGGGAACUGCCCCUUGUUUUUUCAGAAGAUCUCAGUCCACGUCCCGAGUGGUCACUAGUGCCCUUCCCAAGGAUAGAAAUGCAAAACUCGUGAAAAGCAGAACCUUGACCAAAAUGUGAACCCAGAAUUAAAAGAUCCACCGGCUACUGACUCAUUUGCUACUCACAGUACUUGCUCUCAGCCUUUGGAUAAAACUGGUGAUUUAGAACUUCGGAUAUGGAGGACCCAAACACCUGAGCCAAGACUCCUCUUCAGAAAGAGCCAAGACCCCACAAUGCUAGAUGGGACCCCAAGGACACCGAACAGUUACAACAAACCCACCAGAACUGCUUAAUACAGUUACUACACAAACGACCCCUGUUCCCAGCUAGGCUCUUUCCCAACCAAGACAAGAAUUGCAACCCCCAUUAAGGACCCUGCCCGACAACUCCCUUCUUCCGGGAAUGGUGCUAGGCCCCAGAAGUCGCUGAUAAAAAUUAACAUGCCAAACUCAA
rnacentral:lncRNA from 1 species